AUAUAUAUAUAUAUACAUACAAACACACGUACGUACAUACUAACGCUUAUGUGUAAAUAUCUAGUGUUAUGACAUUUUUGAACUGACGUCUUUGAAAAAGGAAAUUCGUUUUGUUUUCCUCCAUUCUUAUUUCACUUCCAUUCUUCAUUUUUGGAAAAUGGAAUCAAGAACCGACGGGCACCCUCUUCCGUAUACACUUACCUUCAUUUAGUAGUGACUUUCUAUAGAAUCUUUCAAAAUGCAUGGCCAUGUAAAAAAGACAAAAAUGAAUAUAUAUAUAUAUAUAUACAUAUAUAUAUAUAUACAUAUAUAUAUAUAUAUAUAUAUAUAUAUAUAUAUAUAUAUAUAUAUAUAUAUAUAUAUCACAAACAGAACAGAAAAAACAAAACGCAAAAAAUACAAUAACGUUAAUAUUCACAUUAUUCAUUUUUUUUUCCAAAUACCGCCAUUGAUAUGAAGAAAUAUCCUGUAAGAAAAGAUGGCGAUUGCAACAGUGUAUGUUUUUAUGCGUUUGGGAAUUAUGGCGAUGUUAUGACAAACGCAUUACAAUAUAUAUGUAUCGGGUAGUGAAAAUUGUUCGGUUAUUCGGAUGAUCUUUGAAAAUCAAAUAUUUGUGUGCGUGUGCAUAUAUAUACAUACAUACAUAUAUGCAAAUGUAUGUCUAUACAUAUAUAAAUAUAUGAGGAUAUGUGACGAAAGAAUAUAUAAAUAACUAUAUAUGACAAUAUAUAUAUAUAUAUAUAUAUAUAUAUUAUGACUGUAUAUAUGAUACAAAACCCGGCCAAAUAACAAAGACAAUUAAUUAAACAAUGAAAAAACAAAAAAUAACAAUAAACAAAAUGGACCAAAAUAAAUUAUUGAAUAUCGCUCUGCGUGGCUUAAAGGAGAAGAGUAAAUAGAAAAAAAUCUUUUAAAUAUGUCUACGAGUGUGCAACAUACGCAUACCAGCUCUGACGUAGUCCGGGGAUUGAAAUAAUAUCAUUAUUAAAGAAGAUGAUGAUUGCGAUAGUUUUCAAGUGAGACUUGGUGAUAAAUCGAUACCCAAUAUUCAAUCACAAAUAUGAUUUCUUUCUUCAGAGACUAUCCAAAAAAAAAAAAAGAGAAAAAAAUCAACCCUUUCCCCCCCAUCCUCAAAAUAUGCUGUGGAAUAUGUAAGCAAAUGGUCUUAUGCUUAAAGAUAAAACAUGAUGAAGAAAAUUGACGAAAUAUGACACACAAAAUAUAAAAAUACAGAUAUGAACAUGAAAAAAAAAAACCAAUGGAACAAUCGUGUAUCGAUACCCGAUCGACGUCGGUAUUGAACAAUUAUGUAUUUUUGAAACAAAAAACGCAUCAAAGAAAAACACAAAUCUGUUUUUUUUUUCUUGCAGCUGCAUGUUUUGUUUGUAUAUUAAAAAUAACUUUGAACAUAAACAAGACAACGCAUAUACAUGCAAACAUAUAUUAUAUAUAUACAUCCAUACACACAUACAUAUAUAUAUAUAUAAACACACACGAGACAUAUAUGCAUGUAUGUAUAUAUAUGUAUAUUCAUGUAUGUACAUGUAUAUACAUAUAUAUAUAUGCAUGCAUGUAUGUAUGCAUAUAUAUAUAUAUGUAUAUAUAUGCAUACAUAUAUCUAUGCAGGAGGCAUGCAUCCAAAAAUAUACAUACAAUUUUCUGUUUAUUCUAUGUUUUUGCAUGACAUGAAUAAAUAAAUAAAUAAAUAAAUAGAUAAAAAGUUUAAAAAACUACAAAACUUCUUCGAAAUUUAUUAACGAAAACCUUGUAAAUACAUUAAUUUUGUGAUGACAGCGAAAAAUUUAAAGCAGAAGAACAAGAAGAAAAAGAAGCAGACGAUACAGAAAAAGAAGAAAGAAGGAAAGAAUAAUACUAAUAAACAACGCUUUAAUAUAUAUAUGUAUAUGUGUGUAUGAGUAUGUGUUCAUAUAUGCGCAUAGACAUGUGUGUAUACGUAUGUAUAUGUUUUGUAUGUAGAACUUAACUUCGUGUGUGGGGG
rnacentral:lncRNA from 1 species